ACUCGCUGGUGACUGAGGACAUCCAG
rnacentral:piRNA from 1 species